CCUGAUGGUGUCCAAAGGCCGGUUGGAUGAGCUUUGAGCAAGCUGGUCUAGUGGAAGGUGUCCCAGCCCGUGGCAGGGGUGUUUGGAACGGGAUGGUCUUGAAGGUCCCUUCCAACCAUGAUCUGGGUUUGGGGGUUUGUAGAAAAGGAAAACGCUUAAUGAAGUCGCAUCCUGGUGUUGUACAGGUUGGUUACUGGAAGGUUUCAGACCUGCUGAUGGUCUUGUCUCUUGUAGUCACUGCAUGCAUUGGCGCAGAAAAAGGGUGAAAAUGGCAGUUUUGCUGUAGAUCUUACAGGAAUGUUGAGAGUUGGGGCACUUUGGACAGUCAGGACUGGCUGUCAGAAGACAGUGGGAAUUUUAAGGGUCCUAGUCUCUGCCCUAGUCUCUCUCUGCUAACCCUCCUGUGUGGUGGAAGGCAAACUCAAAUCCUGAGCCAAGCCUCUGGUCAAAAGUCAUGAGAUGAGUGAAAUCUUGGUCUUUAAAAAUAGCAUCUUGAAAUAAUAUGUUUUAUGUUAUUUGGUUUAGAGCCUAGAAUUUUUAUCUUUGGUAUGCUCGAACUUUUCUCCAAAACCCAAAGGGAAGUAACAAAACUCUUUUUUCCUUAUUGAAAGCUGAGGUUAAUAUCUAAAUAUCUUCCCCUUCAGAAGCUGAGGUUUUAGGAGUACUGGCUUAGGUUAAACUAGUAAGUUUGAACAACAGUGCUUUGUUUUGAGUGGAACUUUGAAAAAGUCCAGCUGGGGGAAACCACAGGCCCAAGACCAGUGGAGAACUCCAUGGAGGGACAAAAUGCAUGAAAGGAGUGAAACCAGAGAAGGAGAUGAGACCUCAUGGAGGCCUGGCCAGCUGAAGUAGAUACCUUGGCCCUUUUUAGAGGCUGCAGAAGAUACUUGGCUGAUAACAGCUAAAAAACUCUUAGAUCAGAGGGAGAGGUUGGAAAGGGCUUUUUCCCUGACCUCUGCCCAGGUGUGGCUGUAGGGUUAAAUUCAACAUCGGUCUUCCAGAGAGGGAAAUGUUGAUUUUGUGGUUUUAGCUCACCAACCAUUGCUAGAGAACACAAAGCUUGUGUUUUAGUCACUUCACUGCUGUAUAUACUCUCAUUUCCAUUGUUCUGUGUUUUCACCAUUCUUGAGUUCUGUCUUGGUCUUCCCCAGAUGCCAUCAGUGCAUCCAUAAUUCAAAGACUUGGGUAAAGGUGACAGGAACAAUUGCAGGGAGCAGCACAAGACCCUGUGAAGGUGCCUAAAAGUGAACUUUAAAUAUCAAGACUAGGUUUUCAGGAAGGUAGAGUUGCUCAUCAUUCUUUCCUGCCCUGUGCCUCAGUGUCCAGGGGAAGGGGAUGGUAAAAACCCCUUCCCACUGUCUGCUCCUGUUGUCCUUUGUCACCUAUGCCUUUCCUAGUUGUAGAGGUGGUUUUUACUUCUCCUAGACUUUCUCUAGUCACCAGGAGGGGAUCUUGGAAGACAGGUCUGGGGCUGGCACAGUCACAGGAAAAAGAGGAUUGUGAAAGGGGUAAUGGCACCAUGCUACCAUGCUUUGUCAGUUUUUCAUCAGCUAAGCCCUGAUUUGGAUCUGAUUCUAUUCUGCAGCCAGAUGAGAGAGGGCAAAUUUAAUAAUCCAAAUAAGUGUGCAGCUUUGUGAGCAAUUAGAGAAUCAACUGGUAAAUGCAAAACAUGUCUCACUUGUGACAGAUGACUCUAUUACAAUAACAGAAGUAUGAGUUCAUCCUAUUCAGGCAUCUUUAAAGUUUCCCAAAAGUAGAGAAUUAGUGCACCAAUUCAGCUAUAAAAAGACCAACUUAUAAACCCCCAGAAGAGAAAUUUUGAAGAGAAAUUUUGGCAACCUUAAAUACAUAACUGCAGAAUAUGUACAAGUCUGACUAUAUUGUAAUUCAGACAACUUCCUAUGGUAUAGUUCCACAUCUUUAAUAGAAAAAAUGUUGCAGAAAUAUUUCUUAUUUAUUGUGAUAGUUUAGAAAACCAAAGAGACCAAUCACUCCCUGUCGAAAACAACAAAUGAAAUUACCAAUGUAGAAUAUUUUGAACUAGUGUUACUCUUAAGUGUAAGAAACCUGUCUUGGGAUAUUCUAGACUAAAUACACAUACUUGAGAAGCAAGAAACACUUGCAUUUUCUAGGUCUGUAAAGUCAAAAAAAGAAAAAAACAACCCUUGAAUUUAUUGUUUAUGAGCUGGCUGGAACUAAUAAACUUUGGCUAAUUUAAGUUUGUUUGGGUUUUUUUUACUUUUUUUUUUUUUUUUCCCCACCAUUUUGUUUUAGACGAGGAUGGAGCACAUAGUCCAGAUCUGAAUAAUAGGAAGGAACUCUCAUUAAGGGCCUGGGUUAUUUGAUAAUAACCAUGUGAGGCUGCUUGGGCAGAGCUGUAAUACUACAAAAUAUUAGAGAAAAUCCUCGAGAGAUGGAUUAGCAGUCAAAGCUGAAUGCUGAAGGUAAUUAAUUGUUUGAUUCCCUAUCAGGUGUGUAUACUUUCCCUUUUCUUCUGCAUCAAAUUUGAGGUUACUGGAAACAAACCAACUAGCAACAAAGAACAAAGGAAGAAAGAAUAAUUUAGAACAAUCACAUUUUCCACAGUACCAGCUAAAUAAAUGCUGAAACAGGCACCUGGAUAUGCUUGCCACUUCCAAAAAAUGAGAUAAGGAUGAAAGAUAAGCACCUUCCUUAAAGAGCAUUUCUAGAAACCGUUCAGCAAAUAGAAAGCAAAUCACACUGGUGUGAGAUUCUUCAUCACUUUAUGCAGAGGAGGAUGGUCAGUAUUUUAGUAGAGGAGUGCAAUAUGGAAAGCCAAAACCUGGCUGGAGUUGCAGCUGAAGAAUGUGAAGGGCAACAGAAAGAGCUUCUACAGGUGAUUUGGCAGCAAAAGGAAGACAAGCAAAUAUGUGAGCCUGCUGCAAGACUGGGUGAUAAAACUGGCCAUAAAGGUCAAGGAAAAAGAAGAGACCUCUUUCAUCUUGGACUUUACUGGGAAAAAACCCUUUUCCAUCUCCCAAGCUUCUGUGGCUGGUAGCAGGGUUUGGGCAGAGGAGGGAAACUCCCCAGAGAAAGUCCACUGGAUCCCACGAUGCUCAUUUGAGUGUUGAGGGAGCUCGCCAGUUUAAUUUAGUGCUCACACCCUGUGACAUUGGAAAGUCCAUGGCAUUUAAAGACUGAACAAAGGCUAAUGUUACACAUUUAAGUUCAGUUGUGUCUGACCCAGUGUCACUGACUUUGGGCUUAGUGAGCAUGGGGAAAGCAGAGGAUGUCGUUCAAGCUUGUCUUUAUGAGGGCUUUUGGUGGACUUCCUUAAUAACCUUAUAACUGGGGAGAUGUGGGUGAGGUGGACAGACCCUGGAUGUGAAAAACUGGCUGUACCCCCAGGCUUGAAGGUCGUGUGUCAUUGAAGUCUUGUCUGAUGCCCCGUUUGGAGGGGUCAGGGAUCAGUACUGGAGCGAAUCUCGUUUGACAAGGUCACCAUGCAGGGGGUGGUACAGAGUGCACCCUCAGCAAGUUUUCAGCUGAGCCCCUUGCCAGGCUGGGGAGAUCUGUUGAUACACAGGAGGCCACCAGUCAGAGCAGCCUUGCCAAGCUGCAGGAGAGGCCAGUGAGAACCUGGUGUUGGUCAACAGAGACAAGGGCAAAGUCCUGAAUGUGGGGCAGACUAUAGGAUGCUACCGGCUGAGAACCAGCUGGCUUGGAAGUAGCCCAGCAGAAAAGGGCCUGGCCAUCCUGGUGGACAAAAGAAGUUCCUCAUGGGAUUUCAACACCCGCAGGGCUGCAUUCUCCAUAUAGCCAGCAGCAUGCCCAGUCUUGGAUUUCUAUUCUCCGAAAUUUAAAAUCCUUCUUUGAAAAAUCAGACCAUAAAGAGAGAGAAAGAGUCAUGCAACUAAGAAGAGAACCUAGGUCUGAGAUAUGACUGCUCAUUCUGUAGCUUCUGGUGUGAGCCACAGAGAGAGAGAGAAAGCAGCAAUCCCUACUGGAAAUGGCUUGGGAAUACCAUGGAGGAAGCAUUGGUGAGAUUUUGAGGACGGAAGAGUGAAAGAUGAAGUGCUAAAUCUGAGACUGUGGCUGCUAAAAUGAGCUGCUGAACAUCAGAGAGCAGGAAUUACUGCAUUUCCUGAGUGUGCUGCAGAACCUCUGAGCCUUUUAUUUCUAGUAGUAGAAAUCCACAUGGGUCUCAAGAAGUGUUAAAAUAACAGGUUUUGAAAGCAACAGUUUUUCAUAAAGGCAAGAAUAUAUAUUUUAUAUAUAUAUAUAUAAUGUAUAUCUUAUGCUCUGUGUCUGUUUUGCCCGUCCCAGAUCCCCUGAGCAGAUAAUGCUGCAGUCUCAGCUCCCACACCCUCCACCCUCAGCUCCCUCUCCCUCCAUCCUGGCUGCUGUGCUGUACAUCAUUUCAAAGGAGCACAGCUGGGUGCAGGACUGUAAUUUCUCAUGCAGCUCAGAUCAAGUCCAUUAGUUUAUUUGAAGGUUAGGACCAAGACCAUGGAAGUGCACGAGGAGCUAAUAGACAGACCGGUGUUCCUGCUGUGCUCACGGGGGCUUAAACCAGGGAGAAAAUAGUCAGGCACAUCCAUAUUAUCUUCACCUUUUGCUUCACAAUUUGCAGUAGUCUCAUUCAUAAAUGACAAAGAAACAGCUCCCUGCUGUGAGGUCCUCAUACCACAGAGAGCUGUAAUGAGUUUGUAACAAGAUGGAGAUAAGGAAGAUUUUUUUGUGAUUACUCAGACAAACCUCCGAGUGGAAAUCAGAGAUGUGCUGGGUGAGGGGUAUGUCUUUCCAUCACUCUCCAUGGCUUAAACAUUUGAGGAUACUUAGGGUAUUCUCAUGGUAUUAUGUAAGAAGAACUCAGUAAGACAAAAAUGUUCUAAAUGCAUCUUUAUGGAUUUCUUGCCUUCACUGUAUGUCAGAAUCUUUUGUAAUUUGACAGCCACUAGCAGUGAUUAAUGGCUAGCAAUAUGGCUAGGGGCAAUGUAUGUUUCAAAGUCAGUAUCAGGAAAGCCUCUGUGAUCUGGGAAGUCUUUGGCUGUGGAACUGUCUCCUUGCAAAGUCAGAAACAAGUGUUUUGCCUGUGUGCUCCUUGAAGACCUCCAAAUAAAUAGCUGGAAUAUUAAUGAAGAUGAGAGUAAAAAGAAGGGAAUAUUCACCUUGGAGUGUGGUGCUAAACUGAGAUUUAAGGGUUGUUUCUGUUUCAGUCUUUUAUGACAGCUAUAGUAAAUAUUCUAUUCUAGUAAAUAUUUCUAUUUUUCAUAUGCAUACAUAUAUAUUUGUGGAGGUGUAUACAUAUAAAUGCUCCAGAAAGAAAUGUUUUAUUUUCAUUUUCUUAGAAGCAUCAGGUGUUUUCUGUGUUGAAUCUUAGCAUGGGUAAUAUAUAUCCAGAUAUUAAAGUAACCGUGGCAAA